GCGUAAUAGCUCACUAGUCGAGUGAAUCUGCGCCGAAGAUGACUCGGGGCUAAGUAUACUACCGAAAUUACGGGUUGUACAGCGGUUCGCCGCUGUGCAGCGGUAGAGGAGCGUUAUUAACUGCAGCGAAGGCAUACCGUAAGGAGUGCUGGAGCGUUAAUAAGUGAGAAUGCUGGAAUGAGUAGCGAUAAGGAAGGUGAGAAUCCUUCCCACCGAAAAUCUAAGGAUUCCUAGAGCAAUGUUCGUCAGCUCAGGGUUAGUCGGUCCUAAGCUCAGGCCGAAAGGCGUAGGCGAAAGGGCAUCCGGUUAAUAUUCCGGAACUAUGUUAAGUGCGUCAUCACUCAGGGAGGGACGCAGGAAGGUAAACCAGCCGGUCACAGGAUGCACCGGUGAAAGGCCGUAGACAGACUUGAUAGGCAAAUCCGUCAGGUCGUUACGUCGAAAGCCGAGACGAGUGCGCAGCAAUGCGCGCAGAGUGGUCCAACUACACUGCCAAGAAAAACUUCGUGGGGAGUGCUUAAUAUAACCGUACCGUAAACCGACACAGGUGGAUGGGUAGAAAAUACUAAGGUGCGCGAGAUAACCAUCGUUAAGGAACUAGGCAAACUAGCUCCGUAACUUCGGAAGAAGGAGUACCAUAUUAGGGUUGUAGCAAUACAAUUUGAACUGGUCGCAGUGAAAUGGGCUUCGUGACUGUUUAACAAAAACUUAGGGCUCUGCUGAAAUCACAAGAUGAUGUAUAGGGCCUGAUGCCUGCCCGGUGCCGGAAGGUCAAGGGGAAGGGUUAGCCGCAAGGCGAAGCUCCGAACUUAAGCCCCGGUAAACGGCGGCGGUAACUAUAACCGUCCUAAGGUAGCGAAAUUCCUUGUCGGGUAAGUUCCGACCUGCACGAAUGGCAUAACAAAGAAGCCGCUGUCUCAACGAUGGGCUCGGCGAAAUUGUGGUGCAAGUGAAGACGCUUGCUGCAUGCAACAAGACGAAAAGACCCUAUGGAGCUUUACUGUAACUUGUCAUUGGAUUACGGUUUUUAAUACGUAGCAUAGCUGGGAGCCUUUGAAACAUCCCUUGCGGGGGGUGUGGAGGCAACAGUGAAAUACCAGCUUUUGAGGAUUGUGAUUCUAACUUAUACCCGUGAAUCCGGGUUGAGGACAUUGACAGGCGGGCAGUUUGACUGGGGCGGUCGCCUCCUAAAGAGUAACGGAGGCGUUCAAAGAUUCUCUCAGAUUGAAUAGAAAUCAAUCAAUGAGCGCAAAGGUAGAAGAGAGUUUGACUGCGAGGACGACGGUCCGAGCAGGUGCGAAAGCAGGACUUAGUGAUCCGGUGGUCCCUCGUGGGAGGGCCAUCGCUCAACGGACAAAAGCUACCCUGGGGAUAACAGGCUGAUCGGGCCCAAGAGUUCACAUCGACGGCUCGGUUUGGCACCUCGAUGUCGGCUCAUCACAUCCUCCCGCUGAAGCAGGUGGGAAGGGUUGGACUGUUCGUCCAUUAAAGUGGUACGUGAGCUGGGUUCAGUACGUCGUGAGACAGUACGGUCUCUAUCUGUUGUGUGCGUAGGAAACUUGAGAGGAGUUGUCCAUAGUACGAGAGGGCCUGGAUGAACGAACCUCCUGUAUAUCUGUUGUCCUGCCAAGGGCAUUGCAGAUUAGCGGUGUUCGGUAGGGAUAAGCGCUGAAAGCAUAUAAGCGCGAAACCCGCCUCAAGAUAAGGUUUCCCUGGACUAUAUGUCCCUUAAGACCCCCGGAAGACUACCGGGUUGAUAGGCAGAAAGUGUAAGCACAGCAAUGUGUUCAGCUAAUCUGUACUAAUAGGUCGCGAGGCUUGGCCGU
rnacentral:rRNA from 1 species